rnacentral:rRNA from 1 species
CCCUUAGAUGUUCUGGGCCGCACGCGUGCUACACUGAUGAAUUCAACGAGCACUAACCUGUGCCGAAAGGUUCGGGUAAUCUUGUGAAAUUUCAUCGUGAUGGGGAUUGAUUAUUGCAAUUUUUAAUCAUAAACGAGGAAUGCCUAGUAAGCGUGAGUCAUCAGCUCACGUUGAUUACGUCCCUGCCCUUUGUACACACCGCCCGUCGCUCCUACCGAUUGAAUGUGCCAGUGAAAAGUUCGGAUUGGAGAUAGGAAACGGCAACGUAUCCUAUUUCCGAGAAAAUCUUUAAACUUUCCCAUUUAGAGGAAGGAGAAGUCGUAACA